rnacentral:tmRNA from 1 species
GGGGGUGUCACGGUUUCGACGGGGGUUCUGAACGUGAGGAUCGCGUGCCGGGGCUGCUCACAUAGCCACGCCAAAAUAUGUGGGAAUCACAGCUGCCAACGAUGGCAACUACGGCCGUAUGGCCAUCGCCGCCUAACCCGCGGUGACAUCUCUGCCCAAGGCGCUUCAGUAGGGACAGGGGUGUAAUCACAGGAGCUAGCAGGUGCGCAUGCCUCGGGCGCAUCGGCGAGAACUUAGAGGAUCGGUUGAGGGAAGGCCUGUCGAUGGGCAUACCCAGGACCUAAACCUCCCGUGAGGGGGGACAAAUUCAUCGGCUACGCACGUAGUGGUCCCACCUGAUGGCUUUCGGACCCGGGUUCAACUCCCGGCGCCUCCAUCC